UUUCUUCAGGGCGGGGUGUAAGUCCCUACCGGCGGUGAUAGUCCGCGACUCUCCUUGCUGGAGAUUGAAUUGGUGAAAUUCCAAUACCGACGGUGAUAGUCCGGAUGGAAGAAGAG
rnacentral:ncRNA from 1 species